rnacentral:rRNA from 2 species
CAAAUGACUCUCGGCAACGGAUAUCUCGGCUCACGCAUCGAUGAAGAACGUAGCAAAAUGCGAUACUUGGUGUGAAUUGCAGAAUCCCGUGAACCAUCGAGUUUUUGAACGCAAGUUGCGCCCGAAGCCAUUCGGCCGAGGGCACGUCUGCCUGGGCGUCACGC